UACGUAGGGUGCAAGCGUUGUCCGGAAUUACUGGGCGUAAAGCGCGCGUAGGUGGUUCGUUAAGUUGGAUGUGAAAUCCCCGGGCUCAACCCGGGAACUGCAUUCAAAACUGACGAGCUAGAGUAUGGUAGAGGGUGGUGGAAUUUCCUGUGUAGCGGUGAAAUGCGUAGAUAUAGGAAGGAACACCAGUGGCGAAGGCGACCACCUGGACUGAUACUGACACUGAGGUGCGAAAGCGUGGGGAGCAAACAGG
rnacentral:rRNA from 1 species